rnacentral:rRNA from 1 species
AGAACGAACGCUGGCGGCGUGGAUUAGGCAUGCAAGUCGAACGCGAACGGGACUAGAACAAAUCUUCGGAUGAGGGAAGGUCCUUAGUAGAGUGGCGAACGGGUGAGUAGCGCGUGGGAAACCUGCCCUAAAGUUGGGGAUAACACUCCUAACGGGGUGCUAAUACCGAAUGUGGCCACGAGUACACAAGUGCACGUGAUUAAAGGCAGCCUCUACUUGUAAGCUGUCGCUUUAGGAUGGUCCCGCGUCCCAUUAGCUUGAUGGUGAGGUAACGGCUCACCAUGGCUCUGAUGGGUAGCUGGUCUGAGAGGAUGGUCAGCCACACUGGGAUUGAGAUACGGCCCAGACUCCUUCGGGAGGCAGCAGUCGAGAGGCUUUGGCAAUGGGGGAAACCCUGACCAAGCGACGCCGCGUGGGUGAUGAAGGCCUUCGGGUUGUAAAGCCCUGUCAUAGGGGAAGAAUGGCGAUGGUGUUAAUAGCACCGUCGUGUGACGGUACCCUAAGAGGAAGCUCCGGCCAACUCCGUGCCAGCAGCCGCGGUAAUACGGAGGGAGCAAGCGUUGUUCGGAAUUACUGGGCGUAAAGGGCGUGUAGGCGGUCUUUUAAGUCAGACGUGAAAUCUUUCGGCUCAACCGGAAACGUGCGUUUGAAACUGGAAGGGCUUGAGUCAUGGAGAGGAAAGUGGAAUUCCUGGUGUAGCGGUGAAAUGCGUAGAUAUCAGGAAGAACACCAGUGGCGAAGGCGACUUUCUGGCCAUGUACUGACGCUGAGGCGCGAAAGCCAGGGGAGCGAACGGGAUUAGAUACCCCGGUAGUCCUGGCCGUAAACGUUGGGCACUAGGUGUAGGGGGUAUCGACCCCCUCUGUGCCGGAGCUAACGCAUUAAGUGCCCCGCCUGGGGAGUACGGCCGCAAGGCUGAAACUCAAAGGAAUUGACGGGGGCCCGCACAAGCGGUGGAGCAUGUGGUUCAAUUCGAUGCAACGCGAAGAACCUUACCCGGGCUUGACAUGUUUCCGACAGGUGUGGAAACACACCCUCUCUUAGGAGCGGUUGCACAGGUGCUGCAUGG